rnacentral:rRNA from 1 species
UACGUAGGGUGCGAGCGUUAAUCGGAAUUACUGGGCGUAAAGCGUGCGCAGGCGGUUCGUUGUGUCGGCGGUGAAAGCCCCGGGCUUAACCUGGGAAUGGCCGUUGAAACUGGCGAACUGGAGUGUGGCAGAGGGGGGUGGAAUUCCGCGUGUAGCAGUGAAAUGCGUAGAGAUGCGGAGGAACACCGAUGGCGAAGGCAGCCCCCUGGGCUAACACUGACGUUCAGGCACGAAAGCGUGGGGAGCAAACAGG